UGGCGGACGGGUGAGUAACGCGUAAGAACUACCCCCACGGAGAGGGAUACCAACUGGAAACGGUUGUUAAUACCUCCUAUGCUGAGGAGUGAAAGGCUUUCAAGCCGCCUAGGGAUGGGCUUGCGUCUGAUUAGCUAGUUGGGGGAGUAAAGGCCUCCCAAGGCGAUGAUCAGUAGCUGGUCUGAGAGGACAAUCAGCCACACUGGGACUGAGACACGGCCCAG
rnacentral:rRNA from 1 species